GGAGUGUUUCACUUUAGACACCAUACAGAAGUGUGUUGCGUUGUAUUUUACUUAGUAAUAUAAUUUAAAACCAUUAAAAACGAACUCGUUUUCACUUUUUUCACAACUUCAGUGUUUCCUUGGACUUAAAGUAAACACGACUUGCUGGGAAAAGUGCGCUUUACUGGUAAAUGUGUGUCAUGCAGAUGUCCUUCUGGUUUGCAAAUGAGCUCAGAUGAUCUCACAUGACUAUUUCAGAGAAUGGAAGCCGGAGAACCCAGAGAGAACCCACACUGCAUGGGGAGAACAUGGAGACUCCACACAGAAAGCCGAGAUUCAAACCAAGGAACCUUCAAGCUGUGAGGUGGCUUUGCUAACCAUUGCAGCAAUACAUCCAUGUUUGAUGCGGAUAAGAGACAUUACGAGGUUCUAAUGAUGUAGAAGUCCAGGGUGCACCUUUCAUGGGUCAUAGAAACCUGUAGAGCUGCAGCAGUGUUGCUUGGAAAGCGUACCGAUGACAGUCUCAAAAGCAACACUUCAUUAGUAACAGACCAAAGGAACCAGUCCUGUCAACUUGCAGGGUGAGGCCUCCUGUUAUUAUUAUGCCACAGAAUCUGUUGCCAGUUCAAACAUGUAUGGAUGGGUGAAUGUCAGGGACCUGACAGAUCCACACAGUCUGCUGUUAAAUGAAGCGUGCAAACAGGUCUGUCCAUUUCUUCCCUGUUAAAUAAUGAUUUCCUUUCCUUGGAGAAAAACUCUGAAGCACCUAGAAAACUGCAUAUCCACUACACAUACACCCAAUAUAUGACUGUUGCAUUUUGACUUCCUUUAUCAUCGUACUUACUUCUCCAUCUGUUUCCUUCUGCUUGUCCAGAGUCGGGUCAUGGUGGCAGCAGGCUCAGCGGGGAUUCCUCACGUCCGUCUCCCCAGCAGUGUUUUCCUUUUUUCCAGUCCAUCCCAAGGUGUUCCCAGGCCAGAUGAGAUGUGGAGUGUCUCCAGCGAGUCGUGGGUCACCCCUCUGCUCUUCUUUUAGUUGGACAUGUCCACAAAACCUACCAAGGAAGGUUUGUGAUGUUCAUGGACAGAAUCUCAAGGUGCAGCCUCGGUGAGGAGGGUGUCCAGUGUGGGGACGUCAGACUUGUGUCAACAUGUUGUUCACGAGGAAACUGGAGCAUGAGAUGGACAGACGGAUUGAUGCAACAUCGGCAGGGAUGCAAGUGCUGCCUUCAUCUAUCAUCAUGACCUUAAGGGAGCGACUGAAAGAACGCAGAUACAAGUGGCCAGAAUGAGUUUCCUCAGUCUUACAGGUAGUAUGAGGAGCUGUGACACCUGGAGGGAGGACAGUCACUGCUCUGGCAUUGACAGCAGCCUGCUGACAUCUGAUAGGAUACCUGCUGUUCAUGACGACUUAUGAAGUUAAUAAAACAGAUUCUGAACACAA